UUUCUCUUGGUUUCUCUCCUUCGAUAGAUGAACGACCUGUUAAACCUUGCCCCUGAUCCUUUCGCGUCUGAAACUGCACAUGAGGAGAAAAUUAUCGAUACUGGUUUAAUACACAUACGGGUCAUACAAAGGCAAGGUCGCAAGAAAACUACUUUAAUUCAAGGUGUACCUUCAGAAUUUGACAUAAAAAAAAUUACUAAGUCCCUUAAAAAGGAACUUGCUUGUAACGGAUCCGUUUCUGAGCAUAAAGAGUAUGGAGAGGUUAUAUCACUCCAGGGAGAUCACAGACAAGACAUUUACCAAUUCUUAAUCAAGUAUAACUUAGCAAGAAAAGAGAAUAUUAAGAUUCAUGGUUUUUGAAGUUUACUAACUUCAGAAAACCCGAAAUUGUUAAUUUUUUGACAUCUUGUUUUUGAGUAAUUGGACUACUUGCAUUUUUUGUUGUCUACUAAUUGGAGUUUUUAAAGUUUAUUUUGUUGGAAGGUAUAAUGA